rnacentral:misc_RNA from 1 species
CUUUGCUUCCUCUUUGGAGUUCUCAGGUUUCAUCUGGACAUUGAAAAUUUUGUGUGCAAGAUCAUAAACCAAGUUGGUUGUAGUUGUACUAUCUGUCAUAGGUCGUGUUAAUUAUGCAAUGAAGAUGAUUGUGCAUGGCCAAGAUCCUGAUGUUUCUCGAUGGGGUCUCUAUACCCUAAUAGACGUUUGUGCACUUCCAAGUUCUGGUCCAUGUAACAGUGUUACUCAGUAUGAUAUAGAUGAUUGUCAAGUUGGGUACGUCGUAGAAGGUUAUAAUGAAGCAGGACACACAAAUAAUGUAGAGAAUGAUGCGGUUAUAGCACAUGCUCUUCAAGAGGAACUUUCUCAAAUUGCUGCUGCAGAAGCAUCUGGGCUUCACAAACCUGGACAAGAAUCUAUUCUUGAACAGGCCUGGCUUGCCUCUCCAGGAAAAUGCAAUGGUUAUGAGGACCAGAAUGAUCAUCAUAGAAAAAACAAGAUGGAUGAUGCUGAAUGCAGCAAAAAGGAGGCACAUGAUUUUACCAAGUGUGAAAGUGAAGAAUGUGAUGAUAUCCUGAAUUCUUUUUCAUAUCCUAAUGCUGGAGAAGAAUCCAUUCGGAUGGAAGAGGGAUCACAUUCCCUAGAAAUAGCAGAUGAGUCUACUCUUGAUGGUGAAGUGGGUAUGAGACUAAAUCAGAUGGUUCCUGUGC